CUGCGGAGGGAUCAUUACCGAGUUUACAACUCCCAAACCCAAUGUGAACCAUACCAAACUGUUGCCUCGGCGGGGUCACGCCCCGGGUGCGUCGCAGCCCCGGAACCAGGCGCCCGCCGGAGGGACCAACCAAACUCUUUACUGUAGUCCCCUCGCGGACGUUAUUUCUUACAGCUCUGAGCAAAAAAUUCAAAAUGAAUCAAAACUUUCAACAACGGAUCUCUUGGUUCUGGCAUCGAUGAAGAACGCAGCGAAAUGCGAUAAGUAAUGUGAAUUGCAGAAUUCAGUGAAUCAUCGAAUCUUUGAACGCACAUUGCGCCCGCCAGUAUUCUGGCGGGCAUGCCUGUCCGAGCGUCAUUUCAACCCUCGAACCCCUCCGGGGGGUCGGCGUUGGGGAUCGGGAACCCCUCAGACGGGAUCCCGGCCCCGAAAUACAGUGGCGGUCUCGCCGCAGCCUCUCCUGCGCAGUAGUUUGCACAACUCGCACCGGGAGCGCGGCGCGUCCACGUCCGUAAAACACCCAACUUUCUGAAAUGUUGACCUCGGAUCAGGUAGGAAUACCCGCUGAACUUAAGCAUAUC
rnacentral:rRNA from 1 species